rnacentral:rRNA from 1 species
GCCUACGGGGGGCAGCAGUAGGGAAUCUUCCACAAUGGGCGAAAGCCUGAUGGAGCAACGCCGCGUGGGUGAAGAAGGUCUUCGGAUCGUAAAACCCUGUUGUUAGAGAAGAAAGUGCGUGAGAGUAACUGUUCACGUUUCGACGGUAUCUGACCAGAAAGCCACGGCUAACUACGUGCCAGCAGCCGCGGUAAUACGUAGGUGGCAAGCGUUAUCCGGAUUUAUUGGGCGUAAAGGGAACGCAGGCGGUCUUUUAAGUCUGAUGUGAAAGCCUUCGGCUUAACCGGAGUAGUGCAUUGGAAACU